ACGAAUUCGCCCUUAGAGUUUGAUCCUGGCUCAGGAUGAACGCUAGCUACAGGCUUAACACAUGCAAGUCGAGGGGAAACGACAUCGAAAGCUUGCUUUUGAUGGGCGUCGACCGGCGCACGGGUGAGUAACGCGUAUCCAACCUGCCCAUCACUUGGGGAUAACCUUGCGAAAGUAAGACUAAUACCCAAUGAUAUCUCUAGAAGACAUCUGAAAGAGAUUAAAGAUUUAUCGGUGAUGGAUGGGGAUGCGUCUGAUUAGCUUGUUGGCGGGGUAACGGCCCACCAAGGCGACGAUCAGUAGGGGUUCUGAGAGGAAGGUCCCCCACAUUGGAACUGAGACACGGUCCAAACUCCUACGGGGGGCAGCAGUGAGGAAUAUUGGUCAAUGGGCGAGAGCCUGAACCAGCCAAGUAGCGUGCAGGAUGACGGCCCUAUGGGUUGUAAACUGCUUUUAUAAGGGAAUAAAGUGAGUCUCGUGAGACUUUUUGCAUGUACCUUAUGAAUAAGGACCGGCUAAUUCUGUGCCAGCAGCCGCGGUAAUACGGAAGGUCCGGGCGUUAUCCGGAUUUAUUGGGUUUAAAGGGAGCGUAGGCCGGAGAUUAAGCGUGUUGUGAAAUGUAGACGCUCAACGUCUGCACUGCAGCGCGAACUGGUUUCCUUGAGUACGCACAAAGUGGGCGGAAUUCGUGGUGUAGCGGUGAAAUGCUUAGAUAUCACGAAGAACUCCGAUUGCGAAGGCAGCUCACUGGAGCGCAACUGACGCUGAAGCUCGAAAGUGCGGGUAUCGAACAGGAUUAGAUACCCUGGUAGUCCGCACGGUAAACGAUGGAUGCCCGCUGUUGGUCUGAAUAGGUCAGCGGCCAAGCGAAAGCAUUAAGCAUCCCACCUGGGGAGUACGCCGGCAACGGUGAAACUCAAAGGACAUUGACGGAAGGGCGAA
rnacentral:rRNA from 1 species